rnacentral:rRNA from 1 species
UGGGGAAUAUUGCGCAAUGGGCGAAAGCCUGACGCAGCGACGCCGCGUGAGGGAUGAAGGUUUUCGGAUCGUAAACCUCUGUCAGAAGGGAAGAAUAGGAAGCGUGCUAAUCAGCGUUUCUGUGACGGUACCUUCAAAGGAAGCACCGGCUAACUCCGUGCCAGCAGCCGCGGUAAUACGGAGGGUGCAAGCGUUAAUCGGAAUUACUGGGCGUAAAGCGCAUGUAGGCUGUACGGCAAGUUGGAGGUGAAAUCCCACGGCUCAACCGUGGAACUGCCUUCAAAACUACCGAACUGGAGUGCGAGAGAGGAUAGCGGAAUUCCAGGUGUAGGAGUGAAAUCCGUAGAUAUCUGGAAGAACAUCAGUGGCGAAGGCGGCUAUCUGGCUCGUAACUGACGCUGAGAUGCGAAAGCGUGGGUAGCAAACAGGAUUAGAUACCCUGGUAGU